AAGUCGUAACAAGGUUUCCGUAGGUGAACCUGCGGAAGGAUCAUUAUCGAGUUUUGAACGGGUUGUAGCUGGCCUCAUACGGGGCAUGUGCACGCCUGGCUCAUCCACUCUUCAACCUCUGUGCACUUAUUGUAGAUCGGUGAUAAGGUCGAGUUCUUUCACGAGUUCUUGACUGGAAAAACCUUUCUAUGUUUUUACCACAAACGCUUCAGUUAUAGAAUGUUUAUCUGCGUAUAACGCAUCUUUAUACAACUUUCAGCAACGGAUCUCUUGGCUCUC
rnacentral:misc_RNA from 1 species